rnacentral:rRNA from 1 species
UGGGGAAUAUUGGACAAUGGGCCACAAGCCUGAUCCAGCAAUUCUGUGUGCACGAUGAAGGUUUUCGGAUCGUAAAGUGCUUUCAGUUGGGAAGAAGAAAGUGACGGUACCAACAGAAGAAGCGACGGCUAAAUACGUGCCAGCAGCCGCGGUAAUACGUAUGUCGCAAGCGUUAUCCGGAUUUAUUGGGCGUAAAGCGCGUCUAGGCGGAAAAGAAAGUCUGAUGUUAAAAUGCGGGGCUCAACUCCGUAUUGCGUUGGAAACUGCUUUUCUAGAGUACUGGAGAGGUGGGCGGAACUACAAGUGUAGAGGUGAAAUUCGUAGAUAUUUGUAGGAAUGCCGAUGGAGAAGUCAGCUCACUGGACAGAUACUGACGCUAAAGCGC